UACGUAGGGGGCGAGCGUUGUCCGGAUUUAUUGGGCGUAAAGAGCUCGUAGGCGGUUUGGUAAGUUGGAUGUGAAAUCUCCAGGCUCAACUUGGAGGGGUCAUUCGAUACUGCCAUGACUAGAGUUCGGUAGGGGAGUGUGGAAUUCCUGGUGGAGCGGUGAAAUGCGCAGAUAUCGGGAGGAACACCAAUGGCGAAGGCAGCUCGCUGGGACGGUACUGACGCUGAGGCGCGAAAGCGUGGGGAGCAAACAGG
rnacentral:rRNA from 1 species